rnacentral:lncRNA from 1 species
AUGAAAUGCAGAAUUACUAACAUAAUUAAACUCGGCAAGCAAGGCAAGGGUACAAGUUAACUCACAGUAUGGGCAUAGAUCAUAUUGACUUCACCAAUGUCUUAUACACAUUACGCUGACAAACAUGGUCAAUACAAUGGCCAUCUACCAAAUAUUUUGGGAAUGGAAGUUAAACAGUACAGAAGCAUAUCAAGUCCGAACUGCUACCACAGACGAUGAGUUGUUCCCAAUUUCUACACGACAAGAUAUAGCAGCCAUAGAUCACCUCGGUUCACGCUCCCCGCAGCCAUCCAUUUUCUUAUGUUCUGUAAUUCUGCACGGGAUGCAAAAUUGCUGCUUAGCCUCCUCAUCCAUGUCAUGAGUAUCCUUUUAUCCAUUCUACACAUGCUGCAUAACAAAAAUUGAGGCAUCUACUGACAAAGAUUAUACAUCAAAGAAUGGUAGAAGAAAACAGUACAUGGACUGUACGAAGUAGACAUACAAAAAAAAAGUAAGGACAGUGAUAAGAUGUGCAACUGAACAUGAAGAAAAAAGAGGAGUUGCUGCAGGUGGCUGUACAUCCAGAGAUAUAGUACUGUAUUUGCAAAUGAACAUGGAGAAAGAAGGCUUCAGGGCCGAUGGAACUCACCUGCGAUACCAUUCUCGUCACCUUCGCAGUCACGUGGCCUCAUGGUUGUCCACUCCGUUUCUCAGUUUGUGACUUUGUGUGGAUCAUCCUGGGCGUCCUUCGCG